rnacentral:rRNA from 1 species
GAUACCCCAGGUCGGGCGUGGCUACCCGCUGAGUUUAAGCAUAUCAAUAAGCGG